rnacentral:rRNA from 1 species
GGACCCGCACAAGUAGUGGAGCAUGUGGUUUAAUUCGAAGAUACGCGCAGAACCUUACCAACACUUGACAUGUUCGUCGCGGCUCUAAGAGAUUAGAGCUUUCGGUUCGGCCGGACGAAACACAGGUGCUGCAUGGCUGUCGUCAGCUCGUGUCGUGAGAUGUUGGGUUAAGUCCCGCAACGAGCGCAACCCACGUCUUUAGUUGCCAGCAUUUAGUUGGGCACUCUAGAGAGACUGCCGGUGAUAAACCGGAGGAAGGUGUGGAUGACGUCAAGUCAUCAUGCCCCUUACAUCCUGGGCUACACACGUACUACAAUGCUACGGACAAAGGGCAGCAAGUUCGCGAGGACAAGCAAAUCCCAUAAACCGUGGCUCAGUUCAGAUCGUAGGCUGCAACUCGCCUACGUGAAGGCGGAAUCGCUAGUAAUCG